GAUGAACGCUAGCUACAGGCUUAACACAUGCAAGUCGAGGGGUAACGAGAGGAAAGCUUGCUUUCCUUGUCGACGACCGGCGCACGGGUGAGUAACGCGUAUCCAACCUGCCCCCAACUAAGGAAUAACCUUGCGAAAGUAAGACUAAUACCUUAUAAUUUCCUCAGAUGUCAUCUGACGAGGAAUAAAGAUUUAUCGUUUGUGGAUGGGGAUGCGUUUGAUUAGCUGGUUGGCGGGGUAACGGCCCACCAAGGCAAAGAUCAGUAGGGGUUCUGAGAGGAAGGUCCCCACAUUGGAACUGAGACACGGUCCAAACUCCUACGGGAGGCAGCAGUGAGGAAUAUUGGUCAAUGGGCGGAAGCCUGAACCAGCCAAGUAGCGUGCAGGAUGACGGCCCUAUGGGUUGUAAACUGCUUUUAUACAGGAAUAAAGUUAGCCACGUGUGGUUAUUUGUAGGUACUGUAUGAAUAAGGACCGGCUAAUUCCGUGCCAGCCGCCGCAGUAA
rnacentral:rRNA from 1 species